CUCCGCCAGAGACGGUUGAGAAAGUGAAGGUCCGCCAUUUUUCCUCGCUUGCUCACGGAACAUUUUUGGAUCCUGUAAUUGCAAGGCCUUUAUGUGGCAGUGCAAAUGUGGAGCGCAAGACCGGAGUGUCAUCAAGGUCUCAUUUAUUGAAGUAUUACAGAAUGUCAGAACUCGACAUCAUCUGCACAAGGCUGUCUGCUGUGUGUGCGUAGGAAGGGAGGAGAUCAUGGCUGCCAUUGACUAGAAUUAUACCAUUGGCUUGUUGAGAGCUUGCAACCUGAAAGCACUUGUGUACUUAAAUGAAGGCUCUGAGAAACUCAUAAAGGAAUACCUGGACGCGGACUGAUGCCCAGAGCCAGAUGAAGAAAACCACCAUCGGGAUCUUUGUAAUCAAACAUGAGGGUGCCAAUGCCUCCACUAGAAGAUGUAGACAUUAUAGUUGAAUCACUAACAAUGUAACAAAACUAAACAUGCUGUGUUUAGCAGAGAUAUUUUUCUGUUCAUUGCAUUUCUAUUUUACUAAAAAAUGUCCCUGAUGGAUUGAUGAGAAUGGAGACAAAGGUUGCUGCUAAAUAAAUGCAGAUUUGUUUUGAA